UGGGGAAUCUUGCGCAAUGGGCGAAAGCCUGACGCAGCAACGCCGUGUGUGCGAUGAAGGCCCUCGGGUCGUAAAGCACUGUCAGUAGGGAAGAUGGGUCCCUUCACUAAUAGUGUAGGGGUGUGACGGUACCUACGGAGGAAGCACCGGCUAACUCUGUGCCAGCAGCCGCGGUAAUACAGAGGGUGCAAGCGUUGUUCGGAAUUAUUGGGCGUAAAGCGCGCGUAGGCGGCCAUUUAAGUCGGAUGUGAAAGCCCGGGGCUCAACCUCGGAAGUGCAUCCGAAACUGAAUGGCUUGAAUCCUGGAGGGGGCAGUGGAAUUCCCGGUGUAGAGGUGAAAUUCGUAGAUAUCGGGAGGAACACCAGUGGCGAAGGCGACUGCCUGGACAGUGAUUGACGCUGAGGUGCGAAAGCGUGGGUAGCAAACAGGAUUAGAUACCCCCGUAGUCC
rnacentral:rRNA from 1 species